UGGGGAAUAUUGGACAAUGGGGGCAACCCUGAUCCAGCCAUGCCGCGUGUGUGAAGAAGGCCUUUUGGUUGUAAAGCACUUUAAGCAGGGAGGAGAGGCUAAUGGUUAAUACCCAUUAGAUUAGACGUUACCUGCAGAAUAAGCACCGGCUAACUCUGUGCCAGCAGCCGCGGUAAUACAGAGGGUGCGAGCGUUAAUCGGAAUUACUGGGCGUAAAGCGAGUGUAGGUGGCUCAUUAAGUCACAUGUGAAAUCCCCGGGCUUAACCUGGGAACUGCAUGUGAUACUGGUGGUGCUAGAAUAUGUGAGAGGGAAGUAGAAUUCCAGGUGUAGCGGUGAAAUGCGUAGAGAUCUGGAGGAAUACCGAUGGCGAAGGCAGCUUCCUGGCAUAAUAUUGACACUGAGAUUCGAAAGCGUGGGUAGCAAACAGGAUUAGAUACCCUGGUAGUCCACGCCGUAAAACGAUGUCUACUAGCCGUUGGGGUCCUUGAGACUUUAGUGGCGCAGUUAAACGCGAUAAAGUAGACCGCCUGGGGGAGUACGGCCGCAAGGUU
rnacentral:rRNA from 1 species